rnacentral:sRNA from 1 species
GGCCCCCCAGAAUACAAGAAGCGCAAAAUCAAUAGUCUCUCCUCCAAGGAUUUCGAUUGCAUCAUUACAGGUAAUGUACUCAUCAUCAUUCCACCUCAUAAAAUUAAAAUAAGGGCUACCUUUUUUUUCACGUGCAGGAACUGAUGUUUUUAAUAUCUUAAAAACUAGCUGAGCAAUUUAAUUUUUAAAAAAUAUGAACCAUUGACAAUGCUUCAUGUGUUUAAAAGUAAAAUGGCCAUUUUACUAUUCUCUGAAAUAAGUAUAUUUCUUAUGAAUAUUUGAGAUCUAGCCAAGGAAAGAGGUAUUAGCUCAUAGUUACUUAUCAUUUCCUAUUUUUGCAGAAUUUGCAAAGUCUCAAGACCUGCCUUAUCAAUCAUUGUCCAUAGACACUUUUUCUUAUUUGAAUGAUGAGUAUGUAGUCAUCGCUCAGCCUUUUACUGGAAAAUGCAUUUUCCUUGAAUGGGACCAUGUGGAAAAGACCUUCCGGAAUUAUGACAACAUUACAGGCACAUCCACUGUAGUAUGCAAGCCUAUAGUC